rfam:Mustela putorius furo unplaced genomic scaffold scaffold00064, whole genome shotgun sequence.
GUAUACAGGCAUACCAUCCUGAUUGUGCCUGAUCUCAGAAACCAAGCAGGUUGGGUCUGGUUAGUACUUGGAUGGGAGGAAACCAUGCUGCUGUAGUAU